rnacentral:rRNA from 1 species
UCCGGACUUCGGUUCGGUGAGAGUGGCGGACGGGUGAGUAACGCGUGGGAACCUGCCCAGUGGUGGGGGAUAACUGCGGGAAACUGCAGCUAAUACCGCAUGAGCCCGAGAGGGGAAAGAUUUAUCGCCAUUGGAGGGGCCCGCGUUCGAUUAGGUAGUUGGUGAGGUAAUGGCUCACCAAGCCGACGAUCGAUAGCUGGUCUGAGAGGAUGAUCAGCCACACUGGGACUGAGAUACGGCCCAGACUCCUACGGGAGGCAGCAGUGGGGAAUAUUGGACAAUGGGGGCAACCCUGAUCCAGCAAUGCCGCGUGAGUGAUGAAGGCCUUCGGG